AUGCUUGCUUAGGCAGCACAUAUACUAAACUUAGAAUAAAACAGAGAUUACCAUGACCACCGCAUAAUGAUGACAUGCAAAUUCAUGGAGCAUUCCAUAUUUUU
ensembl:snRNA U6 U6 spliceosomal RNA